rnacentral:tRNA from 1 species
GCCUGGGUGGCUUGGUAGGUUAAGCGUCUGACUUCAGCUCAGGUCAUAAUCUCACGGUCCGUGAGUUCGAGCCCCGCAUCGGGCU